rnacentral:tRNA from 1 species
UCCUUCGUAGUAUAGUGGAUAGUAUGCAAGCUUGUCACGCUUGAGACCCGGGUUCAAUUCCCGGCGAGGGAG